rnacentral:siRNA from 1 species
UGGUGUCUGUGCUCGAACUCC